GUGUUUACUUCGGCAGCACAUAUACUAUAAUUGGAACUAUACAGAGAAGAUUAGCAUGGCCCCUGAGCAAAGAUGACACACAAAUACUGUCAUCCUAUUUAGAUUUAG